rnacentral:rRNA from 1 species
GACGAACGCUGGCGGCGCGCCUAACACAUGCAAGUCGAACGAGAGAUGAGGAGCUUGCUCUUCAAAUCGAGUGGCGAACGGGUGAGUAACGCGUGAGGAACCUGCCUCAAAGAGGGGGACAACAGUUGGAAACGACUGCUAAUACCGCAUAAGCCCACGGCUCGGCAUCGAGCAGAGGGAAAAGGAGCAAUCCGCUUUGAGAUGGCCUCGCGUCCGAUUAGCUAGUUGGUGAGGUAACGGCCCACCAAGGCGACGAUCGGUAGCCGGACUGAGAGGUUGAACGGCCACAUUGGGACUGAGACACGGCCCAGACUCCUACGGGAGGCAGCAGUGGGGAAUAUUGCACAAUGGGGGAAACCCUGAUGCAGCGACGCCGCGUGGAGGAAGAAGGUCUUCGGAUUGUAAACUCCUGUUGUUGAGGAAGAUAAUGACGGUACUCAACAAGGAAGUGACGGCUAACUACGUGCCAGCAGCCGCGGUAAAACGUAGGUCACAAGCGUUGUCCGGAAUUACUGGGUGUAAAGGGAGCGCAGGCGGGAGAACAAGUUGGAAGUGAAAUCCAUGGGCUCAACCCAUGAACUGCUUUCAAAACUGUUUUUCUUGAGUAGUGCAGAGGUAGGCGGAAUUCCCGGUGUAGCGGUGGAAUGCGUAGAUAUCGGGAGGAACACCAGUGGCGAAGGCGGCCUACUGGGCACCAACUGACGCUGAGGCUCGAAAGUGUGGGUAGCAAACAGGAUUAGAUACCCUGGUAGUCCACACCGUAAACGAUGAUUACUAGGUGUUGGAGGAUUGACCCCUUCAGUGCCGCAGUUAACACAAUAAGUAAUCCACCUGGGGAGUACGACCGCAAGGUUGAAACUCAAAGGAAUUGACGGGGGCCCGCACAAGCAGUGGAGUAUGUGGUUUAAUUCGACGCAACGCGAAGAACCUUACCAAGUCUUGACAUCCUGCGACGCACAUAGAAAUAUGUGUUUCCUUCGGGACGCAGAGACAGGUGGUGCAUGGUUGUCGUCAGCUCGUGUCGUGAGAUGUUGGGUUAAGUCCCGCAACGAGCGCAACCCUUAUGGUCAGUUACUACGCAAGAGGACUCUGGCCAGACUGCCGUUGACAAAACGGAGGAAGGUGGGGAUGACGUCAAAUCAUCAUGCCCUUUAUGACUUGGGCUACACACGUACUACAAUGGCGUUAAACAAAGAGAAGCAAGACCGCGAGGUGGAGCAAAACUCAGAAACAACGUCCCAGUUCGGACUGCAGGCUGCAACUCGCCUGCACGAAGUCGGAAUUGCUAGUAAUCGUGGAUCAGCAUGCCACGGUGAAUACGUUCCCGGGCCU